UAAUACGGAGGAUGCAAGCGUUAUCCGGAUUCAUUGGGUUUAAAGGGUGCGCAGGCGGAAUAAUAAGUCAGCGGUGAAAGCCUACAGCUUAACUGUAGAACUGCCAUUGAUACUGUUAUUCUUGAGUGUUGUUGAGGUAGGCGGAAUGUGUCAUGUAGCGGUGAAAUGCUUAGAUAUGACACAGAACACCGAUCGCGAAGGCAGCUUACCAAGCAACAACUGACGCUCAUGCACGAAAGCGUGGGGAUCAAACAGGAUUAGAUACCCUGGUAGUCCACGCCGUAAACGAUGAUCACUCGAUGUUGGCGAUACACAGUCAGCGUCUUAGGGAAACUAUUAAGUGAUCCACCUGGGGAGUACGGUCGCAAGAUUGAAACUCAAAUGAAUUGACGG
rnacentral:rRNA from 1 species